CCCAGCAUCAUGGAGAAGGCGCUGGCGUAGUAGGGGUAGGCCGAGGGGAUGAAGCGCUCAUACUGCGUGUGCUGCAGUGGCCUCACGGACACCUGUGACAGGACAGAGGUGGCAGGCCCCGGUCACUGGGAAGCCCGAGCAGGGCACAUGCUGGCUGAAAACAGGGACUGCCACCUGUGCUUACCUGCGUGGAAGAGUACAGGUGAGUGUAGCCCAGCCGGUUGUAAUCCACUUUAAACUGGAACACCCCAUACACGUCAGGCAACUUGAACUGAACACUGUAUUUGCCACCUGGGGAGGAAUCAACACAAAUAGCCAGGGGGGGUUCCCAGGGCAUUGCGCCCAUGAAGAAGAGAGGGGUACAAGCUGUUUUCCUGUGGCAUUCUCUUGGAAGAACUACACUUACCUUUCUUCUUCAAGAAGGUUCUCACAAAAGGGUCAAUGCGGACAAACUCCAGCUGGAUGUCAUCACCAUCAAAGGGGACCCAUUUGCCAUUUGAGAGCUGCUCAAUCACGAUGCUGUACUCCUGAGAGGAAAGGCCAGCCCGCCCCACCCAGACCACGUGCCCUGAGCCCCCUGGCAGCUACCUCUGGGAGCCGGGCGUGGCCUUCUGCACUGCUGAGUUGAAGAAGGCGUCGCUGAAGAAGUCGAGGGAGCCACUGAAGAUGACGCGGGCGUUGUUUCUGGCCUGGAGCCCAGCAAUCAGGAGGGUGUUCUUCCCCACCGCAUGGGGAUACUGGGAACAAAAUGAAGCCGUCAUCCAAGCAGUACCAAGUAAGGGAAAAGCGGCCGGGUCUCCAGAGCAAGAGGACAGCAGGCCAGACCUAAAGGACCUUCGCCCCUACCUGAGAGCACACUGCUCUGCCCACGUCCCCCUUCCUACAACUUGUCAUUUCAUCCGCCUCAGCCAAGUGUGCUUUCUUGCUCUGUUCUUAUUUUCAAAUAAAAAAGUGCUUUACAAUUGGACCAAGGAGCUGGAGGCCUCCAGGCUGCAAAGGCCCUUACCUGGGUGAUAGGUUUGUCCGGGAAGAAGGAGUAAGAGGUAGAAGAGCCCGUCAGGAUGUCCAAUACCAAAGGAUUGUCAGGAUCAGCCACCAUCCUGUAGAAGGACAAGAGAGCAGCCCAACAGUGACCCCAGGAACUGAGCCUGAAGGACAUGGGAUCCCCUGGGGCCAUUUCUUCCCAAAACAAAUCCUUUCUGUUUUUUCCCUCAUGAGACAAGCUCUGGCUAUGUUGCUUAGGCUGGUCUCAAAAUCCUGACCUCAAGCAAUCCUCCCACCCUGGCUUCUUGGGAUUACAGGCAAGUGCCACCAUGCCCAGCCUGACUCCUUUCUUAGUAGCCAAACAUUUGGCUCUCCUCUUGCUGUAAUGAUGGUGUUUGACUUUUAAUAUAAUAAAUUAAUCUCACCCACCUCAUUGGAGGGAAGGGAUGCCCCCAGAUAA